AUUGAACGCUGGCGGAAUGCUUCACACAUGCAAGUCGAACGGCAGCACGGACUUCGGUCUGGUGGCGAGUGGCGAACGGGUGAGUAAUGUAUCGGAACGUGCCCAGUCGUGGGGGAUAACGUAGUGAAAAUUACGCUAAUACCGCAUACGAUCUAUGGAUGAAAGCGGGGGAUCGCAAGACCUCGCGCGAUUGGAGCGGCCGAUAUCAGAUUAGGUAGUUGGUGGGGUAAAGGCCCACCAAGCCAACGAUCUGUAGCUGGUCUGAGAGGACGACCAGCCACACUGGAACUGAGACACGGUCCAGAAUCCUACGGGAGGCAGCAGUGGGGAAUGUUGGACAAUGGGCGAAAGCCUGAUCCAGCCAUUCCGCGUGCAGGAUGAAGGCCCUCGGGUUGUAAACUGCUUUUGUACAGAACGAAAAGGUUUCUACUAAUACUAGGAGCUCAUGACGGUACUGUAAGAAUAAGCACCGGCUAACUACGUGCCAGCCGCCGCGGUAA
rnacentral:rRNA from 1 species